rnacentral:rRNA from 1 species
CAGCCGCCGCGGGAACACCAGCAGCCCAAGUGGUGGUCGCGUUUAUUGGGCCUAAAGCGCUCGUAGCCUGGCCGGUAAGUUCCCCGUGAAAUCGGGUCGCCCAACGAUUCGGCUUGCGGGGAAUACUGUCGGUCUUGGGGCCGGGAGACGCCGAGGGUACUCCGGGGGUAGCGGUGAAAUGCUGUAAUCCUCGGGGGACUACCAGUGGCGAAGGCGCUCGGCGAUAACGGGCCUGACGGUGAGGGGCGAAAGCUGGGGGCGCGAACGGGAUUAGAUACCCCUGUAGUCCCUGUCUCUUAUA